AGAGAGAGGGAGAGAGAGGGAGCGAGAGAGAGAGAGAGAGAGAGACAGGAGUUGUGUAAAAGGGGCUGAAGUCCUACGCUGCCUUCUCCGCUGUCGCUGCGCCUAAAAGUAGGCUCUCCACCGCGUAUAUAAAUGCUGCCAAAGCGUCUUAUAUCGUGGAUGUAAAACAAAUCGACAGGCAGCGACACACCCUGCUGAAGGUCCAGGACUCCGCCGAGCGGUGGGCGAGGCAGCCUGAACUCCGCUGAACCGUUCAGAGGGGCUGUCCGCGCGCAGGGAGCGACCCGGCACGGUGGUCAAGGAAUGUGUGCAUCUAAAAGCAGGAGAAGGGAAGAGAAGGAGCUGCUGGUUUGUCCUUUGCUUAUAAACUGGCUUGUCCGUCACCCCAGGCUGUCUGUUUCAAACUCUCACGCUCGCUGGCUGACUCCCAGCUCUCUCCCUCACCCUCGGCCCCCAAAUGGCUGACACACAGCAGUUCUUCACUGGCAAGCUUUAUGUUCCUGUACACAUGCUAAAGCUGCCAGCUGAAGAACUGUUCUGGUCAGCCCUGCCCCGGAUGACUCAAGAAGAGGAAGCGAGGGGGGGUUGGGAAGGGUGGAAGAAGACUGAGGAAGGCACUGUUUCACACACUCAGUAGCCAAACUGGACUUCAGUAACCUGCUGGAUUUGAACCACCAUUGUUUAUAUUCUUGUGUUGAUCACAUGUAAGGUAGAUUUCACUUUAAGCAGGACAGAGUUUAUUUUUGUGUUUAAUUAUUGUCUUUUUCUCACAGAAAGCUGCUUAAACAGGAUAUCUGUAGGUCUUGAAAAGUCUUAGAAAGUAGUUAAGAUGUAAUUAUAAACUGGCUGGAAAGUACCACUGUUCCUGACCUUAUGUAAAAUUCAUUAGUUAAUUAAACAUUCCUUAAGUAAUUUUUUUUUUUUUUUUAAUUGUUAAUCCGUCCAGGUCCUGGUUGUGUUUAAUGAUUAAUUAAUAAUACAGGAAAUUAUUGCUGAGAAAGACAAAAAUGUGAUAUAAAUGUUUUCAUAUUUUGGUUAGUAUUAGUGUGAAACUGGUAUCAAAUUGCAUUCUCUGUGAUUGUUUUUUUUUUUCUUACAAUAAAGAACUAAAUAUUU